GUAUUUUGACUAUACAAAGGUAUUGUAAUAAGACUUUAAUUGAGUGCUAAAAGAAUGGAGUUUCAAAAAAAGUCUAUCUUGAAUUCAAAAAUUGAAUUUAUUUUUAUUUGUGAAGAAACAAUAAUUAAAAUUAAGGACAAGAAGACCCUAAGAAUUUUUAAUUUUGUAUAUAUAUAUAUUUAUAUAUACAAAAUUUUAAUUGGGGCGAUUAAAAAAUAUAGUUAACUUUUAAUUUAAAAAAU
rnacentral:rRNA from 1 species